CCCGAUUCCCCUUAGAGUUUGAUCCUGGCUCAGGACGAACGCUGGCGGCGUGCCUAACACAUGCAAGUCGAACGAAAUUUACUUUUCCACUAAGAUCUUGAGUGACAACAUCAAGCACGAAGUGCUUUACGCAUUUCCAAGCUUGCCAACACAAUUCGAGUUUUUAGUGGAAAAGUAAAUUUAGUGGCGGACGGGUGAGUAACGCGUGAACAAUCUGCCCUAUACAAAGGAAUAGCCUCGGGAAACCGGGAUUAAAACCAUAUAACACUUUUCGGUCGCAUGACUGAGAAGUCAAAUUGAUUAAGAGGUAUAGGAUGAGUUCGCGUCUGAUUAGCUAGUUGGUGAGGUAAUGGCUCACCAAGGCGACGAUCAGUAGCCGGCCUGAGAGGGUGAACGGCCACACUGGAACUGAGACACGGUCCAGACUCCUACGGGAGGCAGCAGUGGGGAAUAUUGCACAAUGGGCGAAAGCCUGAUGCAGCGACGCCGCGUGAGUGAAGAAGGUCUUCGGAUCGUAAAACUCUGUCCUUGGGGAAGAUAAUGACGGUACCCAAGGAGGAAGCCCCGGCUAACUACGUGCCAGCAGCCGCGGUAAUACGUAGGGGGCGAGCGUUGUCCGGAUUUACUGGGCGUAAAGGGUGAGUAGGCGGUUAUUUAAGUCAGAUGUAAAAGGCUAUGGCUCAACUAUAGUAAGCAUUUGAAACUGGAUAACUUGAGUGCAGGAGAGGUAAGUGGAAUUCCUAGUGUAGCGGUGAAAUGCGUAGAUAUUAGGAGGAACACCAGUGGCGAAGGCGACUUACUGGACUGUAACUGACGCUGAGUCACGAAAGCGUGGGUAGCAAACAGGAUUAGAUACCCUGGUAGUCCACGCUGUAAACGAUGAGUGCUAGGUGUUGGCUAGCGAUAGUCAGUGCCGACGUAAACACAAUAAGCACUCCGCCUGGGGAGUACGGUCGCAAGACUGAAACUCAAAGGAAUUGACGGGGACCCGCACAAGCAGCGGAGCAUGUGGUUUAAUUCGAAGCAACGCGAAGAACCUUACCAAGGUUUGACAUCCCCUUGACAGAUGCAGAGAUGUGUCCUCUCCUUCGGGAGCAAGGGAGACAGGUGGUGCAUGGUUGUCGUCAGCUCGUGUCGUGAGAUGUUGGGUUAAGUCCCGCAACGAGCGCAACCCUUAUCCUUAGUUGUCAGCAGGUCAAGCUGGACCCUCUAAGGAGACUGCCGGUGAUAAACCGGAGGAAGGGGGGGAUGACGUCAAAUCAUCAUGCCCCUUAUAUCUUGGGCUACACACGUGCUACAAUGGU
rnacentral:rRNA from 1 species